GUGAGUUGAGUUUCUCCUGGUGUUUCCCUCUUGUGAGUUUUUUCCCCAGUAUUUGAGUUUCUAGUUUACUCCUUGUGAUAUUAUUUUGUGGAUUGGCUUUCUGCAAACUUCCUGCUGGACAAGCUGCAUUUUGGUAUAUUUCAUUGCUGUCUCUGCUACUUUGUACUGCACCAUCCUCACCUCCUGUGGUGGCCCUGUACAGUAUACCGAUCUCCACAUGGCUGCUAUUAAUAGAUGUUACUGCUCUCUGAUCUGCCAGCCCUGCGGUUUAAGGUGAGCACACCAAAAAGAGGGGAACAAACAGAGCAUGCUGCAGGAACAUACUAUCAUCUACAAGAAGGAGACACAUUGUCCAACACAAGAUGGUUAUACAGAAUCCACAUUGAUGGAUUUUUGUGACAGAAUACAGCAAAGGAGUUGAUGUAAUAAGCAUAUAAAUAUAUACUUUUGAUCCCAACUGUAGAAUAAAAG